rnacentral:rRNA from 1 species
GACGAACGCUGGCGGUGUGCUUAACACAUGCAAGUCGAACGGUAAGGCCCUUUCGGGGGUACACGAGUGGCGAACGGGUGAGUAACACGUGAGUAACCUGCCCUCAUCUCUGGGAUAACAGUCGGAAACGGUUGCUAAUACUGGAUAUGAGCUUGCAAGGCAUCUUGUGGGUUGGAAAGAUUUUUUUUGGUUGGGGAUGGACUCGCGGCCUAUCAGCUUGUUGGUGAGGUAGUGGCUCACCAAGGCUUCGACGGGUAGCCGGCCUGAGAGGGCGACCGGCCACAUUGGGACUGAGAUACGGCCCAAACUCCUACGGGAGGCAGCAGUGGGGAAUAUUGCACAAUGGACGGAAGUCUGAUGCGGCAACGCCGCGUGCGGGAUGACGGCCUUCGGGUUGUAAACCGCUUUCAAUUGUGACGAAGCUUUUUUGUGACGGUAGCAGUAGAAGAAGCACCGGCUAACUACGUG